ACCCAGCUGAUGAGUCCCAAAUAGGACGAAACGCGCAUCCUGAAU
rnacentral:hammerhead_ribozyme from 1 species